GUCUUGGUGCAGUGGCUGUAUUGUGGCCAAUGAGGUUAAUCCAAGGUGGAGUUAUUGCUAAUUGUAAACUUUUCCCAAUACUCCGCCAUGACGGCUUGCUGGCUCUUCUAACAAAAG
ensembl:snRNA U4 U4 spliceosomal RNA